UAUUGAAAUUAUUUUAAAAAAAUCAGUAACAGUAUUCAAUGCUUCAGACUUAUGCGUAAUUUAGGAAUGCUUAAUGUUACCAGUGACUUCUAAAAUAGAUUAAGUAAUUCCCACUCAAAUUGUACAUAUAAAAGUGGAUGAAACUUAGGUAAGACUUAAAUAAUAAUUAGGUAAGUUAGGUUUAAUGUAGCGUGGUGUCAGGUAUAAAUAUCUUUAAUAACCUAUGUACAAAAUGUUCUUGAAAUAUAGACUUAUGCAAUCUACAGAAGGGGUUGUAAGCACAUCAUCAAAUAUAUAAAAAAAUACAAAUAAAAUCAUCAUUGAAGAGCAAAAAUUAUUGAAAUAAACCUGCUAAAAGAUAUUUACCAUAUUCAAAAAUAUAUUAAUUCAACACAAAAUUAACAAUCUUUAAGUCCCAUUCGAUCAAUAUAAGACCUUGGUUAAUGUAAGAUAUUCGUAUCUGACAAUGAUUUAGAGAUAAUAAACAAAGCUCCUAUAGACUUUACCAUCAUCACUAUGAACAUAAGAAAUAUUAGAUGUCAAGAUUUAAUAAACAAUUUAAAGAAACGCACUACGUAAUUACUGAAGGUACAAUCUCGUGACACAAAAAAAAAAACAACUAGUCCAACUAAAAUCAUCUAUUUAUUAACACCUGUAUUGACUUGACCAAAGUAAUGAAGAUAGCUGAAAUCUAAGCAAUAUAAUUUUGGAAUUGAAAUGAAUGAAUUUCACAGAACGUUACCACUUUAGCAUCAGAUCAUCAGAGCAUAGCAUCAGACAUCUCAAAAAGAACUGCAUAUGCAUGUUAAAAAUUGAAAGAUUCUGUCACACAUCUAUGUAGCUUUGACUAUUACCUCUAAAACUACCACAGAGCUACUAACGUAUAGACAUAUACAAUACUAGGUUAAUUACAAUUAAGAACUUAACACAAAUGCAUAUGUGUUAUUUAAUACGUAAGGCAUAUGCAUUUGAUUAAGAUUGUACAUUAAUUGCAAAUAGACCUAUAACAAGUGACAUGUAGUAUGACAGCGAUCUGAAGUAGAUGUAUAGAAUAAUAUACCUAGAUUUAAGUUCCUACAUUUUAUUUUAUUCAACUAGUAUAGUUAUCUUCAAUAAAGCUAGAUUUGAUAAAAUAAAUUAACAUCUAUUAAAUAAUAUUUCGAAAAAAAUAUUAAAAUCAGCAAUCUGAGUUUUACUCCAGGUCGAAAAUCCUAUAGGUACUAUCAAACAUUGGAAAAUAAAUAUAUGAAAAAAAAAACAAAAGAUACUAAACGGUUGAAUAAAGAAUGGUGUAGGUAUAUUAGUUGUAACUUUAAUUUAAGGUAGUUUUUAAUUGUUUAAGGAUAGAUAUUAAUUUAAGACGGUACAGUGGUAGAAAUAGAUGAUUUGAUAACACCAAAACUACGAAGCAAACAACAAAAAUAACUAUAUCAAAUUUUAAAUUAUCACCUAUGAUAAAUUUAAAGAGCAAAAUACUUGACUUGCUAAGUUCAGGAUACAACAAAAAAUAACUAUCAACAUCAUGAAAAAAAUAUGUAACGUAUCAUUUUGUGACUGUAUCGUCUCAUUUUAAUGUCCCAAUUUGUAAAUAUAUUUUGGAGCAAAGCCGAGUAAUAGGAGAUACGAACAAAUAGGUAUAAAAUAGAUAUACGCACAAUAACGUGGAUUAGUAUUAUAUUUGUCAAUACUUUCUAUAUGUGAUAAAACUUAAUACCAGCAGAGGAAAAAAAACAUUAUUAACACCAAUAUUUAAAAAAACAGCUACGCUUACGCAUCAAAAUUUAAUUCAACAUCAAAUCACGAUUAACCUCAUUCGGCAAUACUUCCAAUUCCAUUCAUAUUUGUGAAAACCAACUGACACAAUACUGCAGAAGUUUUUUGUCACUUACAGAAAGUACUGAUCAUUUUAAGUAAGUCCAACACAACCAUAGUUAUUAAAACUAAUAGAAUGAACGACUGUCUCCAAUGAGAACGAGAGAAAACCACCAUAUUUGAAAUUUACGAUCAUACAAUAUUUUACUACGAGACGUAGCUUGCUACGACGAUGCUACGCGGUUGCUACGCGCCAAAUUUCAAAACAAAUUCGACUCUAACUGGAAUGAAAUACCAUAUAAACUCAUUUGCCAACUACUAUUUAUAUCCGAAAGUCACAAGUGAAUUAAACACAAUAAACCAAUAUUUUUUUAAAAAUACUGGUAAUUAUAAAUCUUUGGACAAAUCACAGUCAGAUUUCAACUCUGUUGAAAUUAUGCAUACUUAAUAAUCAAAUACAGACUUAUUAAAAUCUAGAGGCGCCAUAAUAAAUACUGUUUACAUCUGGGAACAACUCGUCCAUUCUAUUUGUUUUAACUCUAUAGUUUUGUUAGGUAGAAUAGGUAGGUUGUAAGAUGUACAUAUUCCUGCAUGGAUGAAACACAAAAAGGACGGUUAAAGUAGAUAAAAAUAGAAACAAUAACUAUCGAAAAUCAAAAUCAAAACUAGGUUAUAACUAGGUAAGUCUAGAAUAUAAAUAGGUAAGCCUAGAAUAUAACUAGGUAAGGUCUAGAAUGUAAGUUAGGUUAGAAACAAAGCAUCUUUGUGCGAAUGUGGUUUUAAAAAGAAAUAGAAGUGAAGUAGAAGAGGUUUAGCUUGGAACAGGCCAAAGGAGGUUUUAUUUAAACAUUUUUUUUAAAGAUUGUAUAAAUUCCAAGUACAAAAGUUAAAUAAAAAAAAAACAGGCAAAGUUACCAUCAUGAUACAGGAAGGAUUUUUAACAUCACAGUAACACUUUUAAGGAGGUUAACAUCAAUCAGCAUUAUCAUCAUCAUCACCAUUAAACAUUAUCAUCAACUUUCUGUAAUAAUCCCAAUUUAUUUAGCGAUCAUUACAUCAUAAUAUCUACUUCAUCCAUACUUUUCUAUCAGACCUCAUCGCAUUUGUCACCUUCUUGAUUCACCAUCGAUUCUAAAUUUGAAUAGGCGCGAAAAAAGUUUGAAAUAAACCUCUUUCGGCUUGUUCAUAGAUAAAUACAUCUUUAGAGCUACGGCUCCUUCGCUAGUAAGUGUAAUAUACUGGUUAAGGGUUAGUAAAAACUGGGUAAGAUUCAUAAUAAAUAAGUAAUAUUAAGAUAUAAAUAAGUGCAUGAUAAUAUUAAGUCUAACAAUAAUAAUUAGGUAAGUUUUACUUAAGGAUCUAGGCGUAGGAAAUUAUACACAUUUCGGGUUCAAUUAUUAGCAUAUAAGGUAUUAUCCAAUCAUAUCAAUGUCAGCACUUUUCGCUGAAAAUAUAACACUGCCGUUUUUAAUGGAUUUCGCAAUAGCUACAACAUAGAAAAACUCGUAAAAAUCAGUCAAUCGCGGGUAAAUUGCACACAACAGGUCAAACUGAGGUCGUCACGUUUUGAAGUAGGUUAAAAAUAUCUUAGAACAAAAAUACACUUAAAACAGGCUGUUUAAAAAAUAACCCAAAAAAAAUAAAAUAAAUAGUACAACAACUUAAUCAAUGGUCAGGUUGCAACAACACGCAUUUGGACAUUAAGACCAAAUUAACAUUGCAGAACAACGCAAUACAUUCUACAAAAUAAACCAUAUAGUUACAAAAAAUUUAACUUAAAAUCAUUUAAAUUAACUAAAGCAUCAGUAAAAAGUACGAACUAUACCAACAUAUAGAAGUAAAAGUAACACUUAUAAAAAUUAAAAGAAUUAUAUUGAAUUUAAGAGCAAAAAUAUUUGGAUGAACAAAGCAUUAAGAAAAAAUAGAAAGGACAACUGUGUCGCUUGCAUUAUCCAAACAAAUAGUGGUGUUAUAUUAACAGCCGAGGUAGCAAGGCAGUUAGGUAAUACUUAGUCUAGAACUAGUUUAUAUAACUAUAUUCUAAGGCGGAACCCGCAUGAAUCCUACAUACGACAGCGUUCACGGUAAUUAGAUUGUAAGAAUACGACCCAUGAUGUCGUUAGUUAAGUUAGACAUAAGUUCUGUAGGGAUAUUGUGUCGCUAUCUCAUGACAUGGGUUAAAAAAACAACUUGGAAAGAACAACUUGAAAAAAAAAUGCUUUGAUGAUCACAUCAGAAAAUGCCAGCAGUACAGAAUAAGGUAAAUAGAAAAUAGCAAAAAAAAUCUUAGUUGAAAAUCUGGUUUUCGAAAAAACAUUAAAAUUGGACAACAUACGUUUAUAAGAUCACACUCGAAAUUUCCGAAAAAAAUCUGUAAGAACUGUUAUGAGGAAGCGACAUAAUAUAAUUUAGAAUGCAAUAAAACAGCUGUAUUCAACAAUUCUAAAGUAAAAACACGCGGUGAAAUUAUAACUAAAACCUAGUUCGGAAUUACAUAAAAUCUAAUAAAACUACAUACAUUUUUGAUAUCCAUAAAAACAACAUAAAUUCGCAAAGUCUAGCUUAACAGAACCAAUAAACUCAAUAGUCAUCGGACACUCAAAAAAUUAGUACCAUCUAAAGCUUUCAUAACUCUGUAGUCAAACAAACUUUUGGCAAGCUAAUAAGCACUUUAUUGCACAAGAAAUAAGGUAGAAAGUUGAGUGUAGCUGUUUUAAAGCAAUAAUAAGUUAGUUCUAAGUAGAAUAAGGGAGUCUCCGGGUGACUAUGCCACAUAAUUGGAAAACCAAAGAAAUAAAACAGUAGUGUGUAAAUAUUAAUAAUAGUUUAAAAAUAAGCGUAAUUAAGAGUAAAAUAAUAAUAAGUAUGUAAAUUGAAAAAAUCUCGCGUGUAUACUUGUCUAAUAAUAUUAUUGAUUUGGUGUGUAUAAUAGUAAAAAAAAAGUUAUUAAGAGUAAAAUAAUAAUAAGUCUGUAAAUUGAUAAAUCUCGAUGAUAUGUACUUGUCAUUUUAUAUAAAAAAGAAAAGAUAAUUAAGAUUAAAAUAAUAAUAAGUAUGUAAAUUGAUAAAUCUCGACGUAUACUCGUCAUUUUAUACAAAAAAGAAAAAGAAAAAAAAUACGUAUCUUUUGUUUAAUAAAUGUUUGGUGAUAAUAGUUUAGAAAUGGUUUAAGUGCACCAACAAUAUUGAAAAGUUAGUCUUAAAGAAAGUUCGAAGAUUCCAGAAUUAGCCAAAAGUACGAAUUAAUUGUAAAAUCUGACAAUUAAUAAAAAAAUAAGUAAACAUAAUAAUAAAACCACAACAAACAAAUAAGUUUCCAUUCGUUAGAAACACGUAAAAAAAAGUAGCAAGAAAAAGAGUAAUCAUAUAAUUUGAAACUAGAAAAUAAAAUGUAAAUUACCAUUAUUAACGCAGUCAAAAUCAAAAAAUUAUUAGUUAGAUAUUUAAGUCAAACAUUCGACAUUGUACAUAUAAAGUCGCAAUGAAGUUAAGACGUACACUAGGUAUGACUAAUAGUUAAGAUUUUUUGAAAAAUGUUUUUCUUCCAUAACAUUUUUGGGCUGCUUAAAACAGCGCCUUUUAUAUGGAAGCUUAGUUUUUAAGGUAGGAUUAAAAAAAUCUUUUACUCAUUUGGAAAUGUAACUGAAAAAACCACAGAAAACUUAAUAGAAUGCCAAUUUUUAAUUGAGUAAAUAUUAAAUGUUUAAGAAUACUCGUAUAUACUACUAAUAUAAAAAUUAUUUUAAGCGAAAUUGACGUGCUUAAUUUUUCCUUACUUAACAUAAAGAAAUAAAAAAUCCGUAUCACACAUAAUUUAGAUAUACGAAAUUAAUUUUAUGAAAAAAGUACGCAAACCUGCAAUAAAUAAGUUUAAGUUAUUAACACAGUUUGGGCCUGGUUUCCAUCAAUAACAAAAUUCUUAAGUAAAGAUAUAUCAACAUGACUUGACUUAACAUCAUAUCAAGUCUUUUAAACUCAGAAGAAGCUUCGUAAUUAUCAUCAUCAUCAUCAUCUCAGCCAUAGGACGUCCACUGCUGAACAUAAGCCUCCCCCUUAGAUCUCCACAGAUACCUGUUGGAGGCGACCUGCAUCCAGCGUCUUCCGGCGACCUUUAUAAGGUCGUCUGUCCACCUUGUUGAUGGACGUUAUAUCCAUUUAAAAUACAAUAUUUAAAAUAUGGCCGUUUAACAUCUAGUACUUUCUUAUCUCUGUGGAAUAAAAUCAUAGGAUUGUAAUUUUAACAUCGCGUUGUUUGAGAUAUAAAAGUCACUAUAUUAUGACCAAAGCCCAUUUAAUACAAAAAAAACUCCUACUAAUAUACUAUGUGCCAUAUAAGUCAGUAUACUCUAAAAAUGACAUCUGUAUUUUAAACUAUUAUCAAUGCCAUUUUCGGCUAUAAAAUUGUCGCGUAAAAAAACCGCCGAGUUCUCGCACAAUAUAAAAACAAGUAAGGAAAAAUGGAGUACCUUAAUUUAAAAUACUACUCAUAAUUCUAGUCACUAGUAUUAUAACUUAUAAUUUAUAAGAUCUUAUAACUUAUAAGUGUGUAUAUUAUAAAAUAUUGUACCAGAUGGAACUGCAACGUAACUACUAAUCUAGUCGAUGUCGCCCGUUCGUAACGGAGUUUAGAUAUAAGAAAUAAACAUUAAAUGAUAAUAAUUAAUUAAGGUAAAAACCUAAGAAGCAAGAUGAUUGGGGGGAUGGAGUAUUUCUUAAAUAAGUAGUUUAUUUAUAGGGUUACUAUGUGCUCUCGAUUUUUAUAUCUUAAUGACAAUGAUAACUGAUGCUAUACUAUACACUUUGAGAAGAAACACCGAAACAAACUCUAGGGUCACAGUCACUUUAAAGUACCAGGUACCUAAAUUUUAAAAAGUCACCAUGGAUGAAGAACAUAGGCUCGUAUAUAAUAAUAUGUAACUUCUGAAUGAAAAAUUCUCCAAAAACACCAGUAAAAAUUAAUAACAAAAAAGGUACUGGCCAAUUAAUAACACAACUUACACCAUACUACUUAUUGACAUGAAAACUCAAACCUUUUCGUCAUCAUGAAAAAAAAUAUUCGUCGCCAUCAAAUUGCCAAAAUUUGGAACGACCAUACACAACAUCAAAGCACAGGUUUACAAAUCGUUAUAGAUAUAAAAAUAGAGAUUCUACAUAUAUUUUAGGGUUAUUUUAUAAGUAGGAUAAAAAUUAAUUUAUGUUCUGCAAUUGUGCAGUAUUUAGUUUUUUCGGAAUCAUAGCUAAUAUAUCUAAGAAUGGUAUCUUACUGGUACUGGUAAUACCAUUCUUACUGGUAUUUGGUAUGUCUUAAAACAGCAUGCGUUUGGUAAAUAUUAUAUAAGAACUAGCUUUUGCCCGCAACUUCGUUCGCGUGGAAUAGUGACUACCAGCAGAUUUUUGAUUUGACCAAUAUAUGGCGCUAUAUGUACGGAAUAAUUUUAUUUUUAUUUUUUUUUGUAAUAAAAACUAUCCUAUGUCCUUUCUCAAGUUUCAAACUAUGUCUGUACCAAAUUUCACACAAAUCGGUUCAGUAGUUUAGGCGUGAAGAAAAGACAGACAGACAGACAGAAAGACAGACAGACAGACAGACAGAGUUACUUUCGCAUUUAUAAUAUUAGUUUGGAUAAUAAUUAAGUGUAUAAUGACAAUAGUCAAAAAACUGCAUUUGGGAAGAGUUCCAAACAUUAGUCGAAAUAAAAUAAGGUUACCUCUAAGUAUUAAUUUAAUCUAGUUAUAAAAAUAUUUAAGGUAUUCCAUAUAAGUUUACCUACUAGCGAAUUUUAAUAAGGUCUAAUAUUAAGUAUUUAUUAAGUGGUGUGGGCUCGAAGUCUAUAUAUUUAAAUGUGUCUUAAAUUGGUAUAUAUUUAUAUAUCUUAAAAAAUAAUUGGGAAUAUAGUCAAUUAUAAAAAAGUGAUGUAAAUCGAACGAAUUUUUCCAAAAAAUGUAAUUGACUUACAAGUCAGAUAAAAAUGAUAAUAAUCAAAAUUGUGAUAAUAUUUUCAAUUGACAACCAGGUUUUUAAGAUCACCUAUUUUAAUAAGCUUAUGUAAUUAUUAUUUAACAUUUUCGAAACUUUUUAAGUGACAAAAUUAAAAUAAUAUACUUGUAAGAUUCGAGCCCUAUUUUAGACCAUUUACCCAUUGAAUGGAUUUCGCAAAAUUUUCAAGAUUUUACAAAAAUAUAAUCCUGACACACAUUGGCAGUAUUGCACACUUACUCAACAUUAUAUACAUACAUACACUCACACACACAUACAAUAUCAUAUACAAUACACACACACACA